UCUUACUUCCAAAUGGGAUGCUGUGACUAAAGCCUACCGAACUCUCUAAUCUCUCUUUGGGACAGAAGCAGAAAUCUCACCAGCUGUUUUCCCUCCAGGUGAUCUGAGGGAUGUAACCUUUUCAUGCUCCUUUUCUGAUGUCAAUUAAAUUAACAACAUGCAACCACAUCUGAUUUCUCUAUAUACUACCUCUUCUCAUGUACCUUGAUAGCAUUCCUGUCAUCCUAACUCAGGCUCUCUCUUUGUUUCAGUUUCCACACCAAGAAAUUCCACUGUGCUACCUGAGUACUCUGCAGAUACAAGAUGAGAUAGAGAAGGGAAGAAAAACAACAUACAGGGAGUCAAAAGCUGAAAGAAGAGGUGAGAGAAGUUGUAGAACCUGUGUCACAGGAUACACAGAACUCAGCUGGACACAGCCCUGAGGAGCCUGACCUAUCUGGCCCUGCUUAAAGCAGCCAGUCAGACCAGAGGCCUCCAGAGGAUCCUCACAAUCCUCAUCAUUUUCUCCUGUCAUCCCAGUGCUCGGAUUCUGAAGCUACAUUUGCCUGACACAGAUUCCUAUUCCAGCCUUUCCCAUCCCAGGUUCAAUGAGAUUGCACAGGAUCACAAAGAGGUAGAGGAAACAUCUUUACCAUUAGGUUAACAGUGCAGCCAAUCUUCUUGUUUUCUGUUUCAUCUCCUUUCAUACAGUCCCUAGGAAAGCAGAGCAAUGUUGAAACAAACACCUACAAAACCAGUUCUUUUAAAUUAAAUCUGAAGCUAUCUUAUCUUCCAGACUUUCCCUGGAUAAUCAUAUACUUAAUUUUAUAAAGUUCCUCUAAUAAAAAUUUCCAUAUUAGGGCUUAGAUGAUGUGAGAACUGAGUGUCCCCUUACAGGUUUGCAUCUACAAACAAGCACCUGAAAUGACUGUUCCUUCAUUUCUUACAAGAAUCUGAACAAAAAUCAGAUACAGUGGUUAAAAAUAAUCUGAAUGCAAGAUCUAGUAUAAAAGUAAAAAACUCUUAUUUAUCCAGAUGUAACCAUUUAGUCCUAGUCAAAGGGUUGGCUUCCAUAAAUGCAGCUCUGCAGUGUGGUGUGGCACACAAGGACACAGCCUGAGGGAUUUAGACUAGAUUUCUAAAUUUUGCAGAGGUAAGUUAAAUCACAACAUUUAUCUUUGGUUUCUGGAAUAUUUUAGAAAUUAUUUCUAUUCAAAUGGUACAAGAGACUAAUUUUUAAAGCAGUGACACAGCAAACCAUCCUGAGAACUACUACAGCUACUGACUGGCAGCUGGACUCUAAGAAAUGCCUGUGUAUUUCCAAAUUCCAGUGCUACAUUACAGUUCCCUGUUCUGGGAAUGACAAAUCAGCUGCAGAUUGAAAAUCAAUUAAAAACUGGUAUGUGUUUCUCAUUUAAGCAUGGAAAUAUGUACCUGUGUGUCAAAGCUGCCUUGCUGGCAGCUGUUUAUCAUUAAAAAACAAAAACCAGAAUCAAAAAACACACAACACCCCCCCACCCUGUGCCCCAAAAAGCCCCAAGCAGCUCCCCUGCAUUCCCUUUAAAUGUGUCUCCAGUACCUGCUUGUGCACAGUAGUUGUAGAGCAGUUGUUGCCAGGAAAAAACCAGGAGAUUGGAUCAAGGUGGUAGGGAUAACAAAAAGAGCAAACUAAAAAGCACAGUAAAGGAUUUGGGACUGCAGAACACCCAGCCUAGUCAGAGGGUUUCACCUCUAAUGAGCAGCAGCAGAAGAAAAAAACAUUUGAACUCCUGUCAGUAGGCUAAAGAUAGAAAUAUCUGGGGCAGUUCUAUAUAGGUUCAAAUUGUCUAUUAUUAAAAAACCCCUCUGAGUGUGUGUGUAUAUAUAAAUCUAAUGUUAAAAUAUUUCCUUCUAACUAACUCAAAGCCCAGCUGCAUUGACAUAACAGUCCUGCAAACUUCAGUUUAAAACUAAAUGAAGGCUGCCUAAUUUAUAGUGAAGUCUUGCUCAUGAGCCACCAGCUGAUGUGCCAGAGUUCCCAGAUGGAAGUUCUCCAGCCCUGCAGGCCUGGAUGAGGUAUUCAGCACAUCUUGGUUCAGUGAGGCUUUGGGGAUCACUCUUGCAUUUAACAUCUAUUUUGCUGAAUUGGUGAAAUCAUUUCAGUGAUAGAAGGAAUUAAUGUUUUAGCAACCUGAAUCAACCUCAGUACAAAACUACCAGGAACGAGCACACAAGAAUGAGACGAGGAUCUGGGAUGUUUGCUCAGAACCCAGCAGUGAUGGUGCAUGUAUGCAGCUUGAUAGUCAAUAAAAUGUUCCCUGUAGGAAUUUGGUGCCAUGUCUCAACAAACUCCUUGUGCUGAGGACAUGUCCUUGCUGUGCCAGGUACCUGUAGUCCAGCAGGCGCUCCAUGAGCCGAGUGACCGACGUGACAAAAGAGAUUCCUGUCUCCCGCCAAGUUUCCUGCUCAAUCUUCUCCAGCAAACUGUUUGGAGAUGGAAAGACAGCAGACAAAGGCAAAAUAGAAGAGAAAUUGGCAGAGCAGGGAUUCUUCAAAACCAUGCUGCCAUUAUGCCUUAAUGGAGGAUGUCUGAUUAAUAUCUUGGUGUAUCUGAGCUCACAGUAAAGCACUAGAAGCUCCUUGACUUUUGGCCUCAUUUUGUCCCAAGUGGAACAGUGGAUUAGUCUGCCUUUUAAACAGGCUGUUGCUGGAGAUCCUCCACUUCCCCACUGAAGCUGAGUUAAGAAGUUCUGCUGGUAUGAGAUGUGAGAUGUGCCACUUCAAAAUGUCAGAGUUCUGUGCCCCUCACCAAGCCCUGCUUUCAUGGAGAGCUAUAAUUUAAGCUGAUGCUCACAAAGAAGCAUGCAGCAAGUGGAGUGGUAAGGUUACAGCUUUCCCAAAAAAUAUUUCAUCUGCUAGAGACAUUUGUAACCCCCAAAAGGCUUGAAUUCUCUUCUGGCAUAAAAUCAAUACCCUUUGUAAGAAAGCUCCAGUGCAUACUGAACAUGUAGCAAAAUGCUAUACAACAACUGACUUCACACUCACAGGAUUAAGAAGCCUUGUUCCUCUGCCUGUGUUUUAUAUGUAACAAUUACAAUAUCCUUUAUGUCCAACAACAUUUAUCCUGGGACUUUGUUUGCUGUUAUAAAGAUAAUUCAAUGCCCUGUGGUCUUAAGUGUGUUUUUGCAACACUACAUCAGUGAUUGUAAAAGUGACAGGGAGGUCCCUGAACAGAGAGCCAGUGGAUAGGAAUGAUUAACAGGGCAAGUGGUGCUGAAGGGAUUCCUCUCUGCUCUCCCAUUCUGAGGGAAUCACCCUACAAACAUCACAUCCUUUUGUACCUUCAGUUCAUCCUUGCUUUGGAAAUUGUCCAGUAAGUGCUGGAAGUGAGUGUCUGACAUCUGACGAAGCAAUGAUAAAAGGCAGGAGACAUAUUCUCCCUGUUGACCAAAUGAGAAACUCUUUCAUUCAGACAAUCUGAAAUUUCACAGAUCAAAGCUUAACCCGGGGGAAGGUAUAAAGGGAGGGGUCUGAAAUGGCCCCAAUGCCUAUGAGGGGACAGGUGACAUGCACAGACUGAAAGUACUGCAGGCUAACAGUUCCUGAGUUACUGUUAAUACAGGCAUACACCUCCAGGAGGCUCCUCCACAGAUGCCAGUUUUAAAGAUCUUUUAAUCAAAGCUGUAGUCUAAACAAUAAUUAUUUAAAAUUAUGAAUACAGACAUUAACAAAUCCCCCUCCAAGCAUGCAGGUUUUGACAAUACCUUUUUCAGGUACACAGUGCCUGUCAGAGGUGUGACUGCAGCUCAUGCCAAUAAACCAGCAAUUAUUUGAACUAAGAGACUCUGACCAGUAAAGCAGUGACAGCUUGGGAUCAGGCUGGGCUACAGAAGGUGUCUGGAAGCUUGUAAAUGUAUGGCUUAUUAGUGUGCACCAAGUUCUGUGCUGUCAAAGCUCCAGUACUGACAGAUCUGCAGUCAGAUUUCCUGAGCACAGUCUGGGUAAGCCUACAGGAGCAACAAUUACAUUUCUGUAAUUCUGCAGAGCAGAUGCACCCUAACCAGUUACCACAGCAUCCCAAAGUGUUUUCCAAAGAGGAGCUCCCCCAUUUUACAAAUCUGAAAGCAAAGCACAGAGAAGUUAAGCAAUCUGUCCAAGAGAACAAGUAAAGUCGUGCCAAAAACAUCAGGACUGGUCUGUGGACUGCCAGUCCCUUGCACAACACUAUUUUCUUUUUUUUUUUUUUUGCAACAGAGAAACUAAUUUGGAAAAUGCACAAAUCUAGGCCAUAUCUAAUAAGAAUUCAUGUAUCACUGUGCUGUGAAAUGUAAAUUGAGGAGUGAAUACAAGGGACUGUGCCUUCCAUUUUAUUGUUUUUCUAAAUGGCUCAAUUAUCUACCCAGAAGUUUUGACAUGGGUUGUUGCAAUAAGCUUUCCAGGGCUGAACUUCACUAGGAAGAAAGAUGUGCUCUUCUGUGUUGGCUGGCAUGUGGGAAACAGCAGCAAGUCAAAUGGCAGCAGUAAAAGGAAACUGAGAUAUUACUGGACAUUUGCAAGCCAGUCCCUUUUCCUUCUGUAUCAAAGCAUAUCUCGUUAACUGAGCUAACAAGGCAAGAUCCAACCUUCUCUCUUGUGUGAGAAGUGCACCUUGGUGCACAUCUGCCCCCAGCAGCACUGCUGGGGUUUCAGCCAUUUGCUAAAAAAACAAGUCUAAAAAAAGGAUGUUCUGAACAGCAGCUUAACAUCCUACAUUGUGCAAAAGCUGCAUUAGAGACUCCAACAAACAAAAAUAGGCUAAAAUAGGCUAGAAUAGAAAAGGGCAGAAAUCCAGAAAAGAAAAAGGCUGAACAGCAAAAUUCUAUUCUUUUUCUUCUCUUCCACUGCAUGUCAAAGAAAAAUUUCUUCCCUGUGGCUAAGGCUGGCAGCCUGGGUAAAGUGGUAGCUUCUCCCACCCAGCUCAACAGCUCAUUUGACUUAGCAUCUCUUAAUUUCUUUUGAAAAAGUAUGUUGUGUUUCAUGUACAUGAAAUAAUCAGUGACCCUGGACAGAAGCUCUCCAGGGUGUAAAGUAAAGGGAUUCAACCACAGAGCACUGUCAUAUUCUCAGUUUUGGGCAUCACAGCCUGAUACUCAUUAUAGCCCUUGGAGAUAUCAUCUUAGGGGUGAAGCCCCAGACAGUUCCCUAGUACCUCAAGUCUUGAGAAAUAACUCUCAAUCAUAGCUGCAAAGUCAACCAAGAAAAUAAUCUGGAAAUCCACUAAAGCUUCCUGAGCUCCACUGCUUCCUGCAGCCCUCACUAGUGCAGGGAGGAAGGAAUGGGUUGGUGGCUUAUUAAGGGAAGGACACAAAGCCCUGGGCAUUCAUGCAGCAGAGAUGAUGAUGAGGUGCCAGUGGUGGUGAGGGACUGAACCAGAGGUUAGAGAAGCAGGAAAUAGAAACUGAUUGUUAGUUACUAACAGUGAUUUCUGCUGUGCACUGCGGGCAGCGCUGCCCUCUUACCGCCUCCUGAGACUGCGAUUUACUCAUGAUUGUGAGCAGAGUUUGUAACAGCACGUCCAGGAGGCUCUCCACCAUCAUCUCAACCUCCUCCACGACAUCUCCCUCC